GUUGGCAUGUGAGAGAGAGCCCUACGACGGGUUGGCACCCUCUUGGUUCACUUAAUUGUGGUCAAAGUAUGGGGAUACAAGGAGUCCUAAGGUGAUUAAGACUCAAUUAAGUGGCUGAUUUGAUUUUGAUUGGGAAUCCAAUUGCUCCUCUAUCUAAGAGGGCCUCCCCUAAGAGUUUUGUAUUAGAUUUUCAGCAAGCUUUCUGCCUCCCAAAUAGCCCCCACCCCCUCC
rnacentral:lncRNA from 1 species